GGUCAAUUAGCUUCGUUGGUUAGAGUGUUGUGUUAAUAACUUGAAAGUCAUAAGUUUGAUUCUUGCUUGACCA
rnacentral:tRNA from 1 species